rnacentral:hammerhead_ribozyme from 1 species
AUCCAGCAGAUGAGUCUCGAAUAGGACGAAACACGUGUCCUGGAU